GGUGAACGCUGGCGGUAGGCCUAACACAUGCAAGUCGAACGGCAGCACAGUAAGAGCUUGCUCUUACGGGUGGCGAGUGGCGGACGGGUGAGGAAUACAUCGGAAUCUACUUUUUCGUGGGGGAUAACGUAGGGAAACUUACGCUAAUACCGCAUACGACCUACGGGUGAAAGCAGGGGAUCUUCGGACCUUGCGCGAUUGAAUGAGCCGAUGUCGGAUUAGCUAGUUGGCGGGGUAAAGGACCACCAAGGCGACGAUCCGUAGCUGGUCUGAGAGGAUGAUCGGCCACACUGGAACUUGGACACGGACCAGCCUCCUACGGGACGCAGCAGUCGGGAAUCUUCCACAAUGGGGGAAAGCCUUACGGAGCAACGCCGCGUGAGUGAUGAAGGUCUUCGGAUCCUAAAACUCUGUUACGAGGGAAGAACAAAUGUGUAAGUAACUAUGCACGUCUUGACGGUACCUAAUCAGAAAGCCACGGCUAACUACGUG
rnacentral:rRNA from 1 species